GUAAGGAAAAAAUUCAAAACCUAAAGCAUCUAAUCAGUGCCUUAUUAUGUAACAGCAAGAUGAACAAUUCAGAAAUGCAAGAUAAAACAGUUUCACCUGUCUCAGAAUAUGAUUGAAAAACUUGACAGAUAUUUCCAAAAGAUAUACUUAAUUUGAGUAAUUUAAAUAAGCUUGCUUUUGUAUAUGUAAGGAACCACACAGAGAGGAUAUUAACUCUUCUCUUACAUCUAAGUAACAAUUUUUAAAAUGCAGUAUUUGAUCACAAUAAAAAAAUAACUAAAAACUACCCUGGGCCAAGAGCAGUGGCUCACACCUGUAAUCUCAGCACUCUGGGAGCAUGCCUGUAAUCUCAGCAUUUUUAGGGAGCCCAAAGUGGGAGAAUUACUUGAGGCCAGGAGUUUGAAACCAGCCUGGGAAACACAGUGAGACCCCCAUCUCUCCAAAAACUUUAAAAGUUAGCCAGGUAUGGUGGCAUGCAUCUGUAGUCCUAGUUACUUGGGAGGUUGAGGUGGGAGGAUCACAUAAGCCCAGGAGUUUGAGACUACAGUGAGCUAUGAUUGCACCACUGCACUCCAGCCCAGGUGACAGAGCAAGACCCUGUCUCAAAAAAUAAUAAUGAUUUUUCCCCAAAUACAGAUUUUUUAAGUUGCCCUUUUCUGACUAUAAUUCAGUAAAUUUAGGAAUCUAGGGCUAUAGUUCAUAUGCCCAACAAAUAGAAAAGCAAAGUAAAUAGAAUUUUACAAGUUUAACUACUGGGAAAGUAUGAAUAUGGAAUGUUCUUUAAUAUAAGCCUGAGAGCCAAGAAAAAAAUAAAAAUAGAAAUGAAAUCCUAUCUAGGAAUCAGUGGAAAGACGAUUACUUAUUGUCAAAACCUAUUAGAAAUAAUCUAUUAUUAUAGAAAAAUGUGUAGCCUAAAUGCCUUUGUUAUUUUAUCAUUGAAAAUAAAUAAUUUUUGUUAAGAAUCUAGGGAAAAAUACAAAGUAAAUCAUGAGGGAAUACAUGGGAAUUGAUAAUGCAAAAGAUGAAAUUUGUGAUAUAGAAAACAACACAGUAAAAGGAUAAAGGGGAGAAAAAGCUGGUUCUUUGAAAAGACCAAUGAACAAAAUUAACUUUGGCAAGCAUGCUGCAGGAAAAACCAGGGUUCAAUUCACUUGCUCCAGGGCACAUAGGAGAACAUCCGUUAUUGAUUGAUUGAUUGAUGACAGUUUUAUUCUGUCACCUAGGCUGGAGUGCAGUGGUGUGAUCUCAGCUCACUGCAACCUCCGCCUCCCAGGUUUAUUCUUGUGCCUCAGCCUCCCGAGUAGCUGGGAUUACAGGUGGGUGCCACCAAGACCGGCUAAUUUUUGUAUUAUUAGUAGAGACAGUGUUUUGCCAUGUUGGCCAGGCUGGUCUCGAACUCCUGACCUCAAGUGAUCUGUCUGCCUUGGCCUCCCAAAGUGCUGGGAUUACAGGUGUGAGCCACUGCCUUAAAUCUGUCAUUUAAACCCUGCCCAUCUGUACCCAGAGCCCUGUCUAAUACAUCAUAUGCAUACUAUGACAGAAAUAAAAAAUAUUAGAGCAUUAAUAAACUGACUUGAAGAUAGUCAGUAAAGGUUUCUCAACAUAUCCAAGAUGCACGGGCAAUAAAGAGCUGGAAAGACUUGUAUUCUUCCUCCUUUCCCUUUUGUGGUCACAAGUGGUUGAUUCCUGGUUCACACUGAGGAUUCAUGUGUGAGCUAUGGCUAGGUCAUUAUGACAUUUUUGCAUUUCAGAACAUUUCUGUAAGUUUUCCAUCAAUCCCAAGUAUAAAAGAUUCAGAGAAAGAUGAGGAGACUGAAACUAAGAGGAGCAAAAUGACCGGUCCAAGAGAAGAAACCAGAAUUGGACCCAAGGGGCUUUAUUGAACUUGGUUUAUGUAUCAGACAUAUAGAAAACCUUCUAUAGUCCACGGGGUAUUUUUUUGUCGUUAUUAUCCUCGUUCUUCCCAACAAUGAUGCUAAGGCACAGAGACGUUCAGCCACCUGCCCAGGGUCACACAGCCAGUGAUCUGCCUGACUCCGCAGCCCAUGCUUGCAAACACUCUACUGAAGCAUUUCCUAAUACCUGCUGGAGCAUUUGGGCCCUCCUGAUGGGCUCCCCUCCACCUCUCUGCCUCCCACGAUGUGCCCUCACAUUUCCUUGCUGGACCCAAGAGCUGUGAAACACAUUAGGAACUAAUAGUCUAGGAGGGGCAUGGGCUUGUGGAAAGAAAACACCACAGUCCCCUUCCUCAGCUGUACUGUUCUUUCCUUCAGCUGAUAUUUCUCAGGUUAUAUAAAUGGAAUGUUAUACAAAUGUUUCCGCCAUGAGUUUCCUUUCAAAAGAUGAAUAAAAGAAUGAGGCAUUUUGUUUUCCUUUGUUCCCUGGUAGCACCUAUGUUAAGAAUUUGUGCUUAAAACAUGACUCACUAAUUCUUGGAGCAGAGCACAAGGAAGUAUACAGACCUAAUAGCUCUGUGAGAUGUAGGCUUGAGCUUGUGUGGGAAAGAAUCCAUUGGAACCACGUAGAUGAAGUUUCAUUCAAAAACAAUCCUCCCCGCCCUUACCCCUUCCCCAACAGCUCCCAACAUGACUGCGUUGUUUAAGUAGCCGAUUGCUCUCUUGUAUGACUGUCAAAUAUUUCAGGUUGCAAGAAAGCUCAAGUAGCCUAUGGAGAGGAUGCAAGGCUUCCAGCUGAUGCCCUCAGCCAGGCUCAGUAGCAGCCAGAACUAGCCUACCAACGAACCUGCUGAUCAUGUGCAUAAGCCACCUUGAACGUCGAUCCUCCUGCCUGGUGGAGCCAUCCCAGCUGAUGCCACAUGAAGCAGACACAAGCUGUCCCUACUAAGCUCUGCUCAAGUUGGAUAUUCAUGAGUGAAAUAAAUGACUGUUACUAAGUAAUUAAUUUUUGGGUGGCUGUUAUGUAGCAGUAGAUAAUUGGAACAAAGCUUAUUGACAUAAUACAUCUAUAUCACAUCCUCCAAUCCAUUUUUUUAAGUAAUAAAGUUGAUGUUUGUUUUGAUUUUCAGUUACAGCUUUACAUAUUUUGUCUUAAUUAGUCAAUUUUUUCCAAACUCAAAAUGGGUUUUUGUAAGAGUAGUAGUAGGGUCCUAGAAUAAUGGCAAUUCUCUUUCACUGGAGAAAGUUUUGUAGAGAAGACAAAAGAAUUUUUACAAGUACUCCACUGGUGAAAACUCAUAAACCUUGAAGCUGAGCUGAUGAUCUUUUAAAUAAAAAACUACAACCACCUGUCUUAAUCUAGAGACUACUCAGUGGUUGAUUUUUCAGGAUUGGAGCCAGGCUGUCUGGGUUCAAUUACAGGCUCUUAGACUUUGAAUUUGUUUCUUAACUGCUCUGUCCCUAAAUUUUCUUUCUUUUUUUCUUUAUUAUUAUUUCUUUUUUGGUAAAACAGGAUUUAUAAGUAGUAUAUGCCUCAUAAAAUUGCUGGAAGAAUUAAAUGAAUUAAUUUAUGUAGUGUACUUAGAAGAGCAUUUAUGUUAGCUAGUAUGUGUCUACUUACUUUGACCUCCCAUUGGAUUGUAAAAGCUGGAGAACAAGGGCUCUGUCUUAUUUUGCUGAUGUUUUCUUCAGUGCUGGGACUAGGGUGAGGUGAGCGAAGCACCUGACUGGCUGCAAAAUUCAGUGAGAGUGUAGGGGAAGCAAAAAACAUAAACAACCAAGAUAAAUAAUAUUUUAGUGCAGUGCUUUUAAAAAUCAAAAUUAGUGGCCGGGCGUGGUGGCUUAUGCCUGUAAUCCCAGCACUUUGGGAAGCCCAGGUGGGCAGAUCACAAGGUCAGGAGAUCGAGA
rnacentral:lncRNA from 10 species